UCUCGUCUUUCCUCCAAGCUAUACAUGUUAAGAUCCUUUAACCUUUCCUGGUAAGUUUUAUCCCGCAAUCCAUGAACCAGUUUAGUAGCCCUUCUCUGAACCCUCUCUAAGGUAUCAAUAUCCAUCUGAAGAUACGGUCUCCAGUACUGUGUACAAUACUCCAAGUGAGGUCUCACCAGUGUUCUGUACAAUGGCAUGAGCACUUCCCUCUUUCUACUGCUAAUACCUCUCCCUAUACAACCAAGCAUUCUGCUAGCAUUUCCUGCUGCUCUAUUACAUUGUCUG